GAAUCCCGUAUAUGGCACGGACUGCCGUUGCUCUGCGAUACACUCUCAACGAGUCGAGUUGUUUGGGAAUGCAGCUCCAAAUGGGUGGUAAAUGCCAUCUAAAGCUAAAUAUUGGCGAGAGACCGAUAGCGAACAAGUACCGUGAGGGAAAGAUGAAAAGCACUUUGGAAAAAGAGUGAAACAGUACGUGAAAUUGUUGAAAGGGAAACACUUGAAGUCAGUCGCGCCGUUCGGGACUCAGCCUUGCUUCUGCUUGGUUUACUUCCCGUUGGGUGGGUCAACAUCAGUUUUGGUCGGAGGAGAAAGGCCUGUGGAAGGUAGCAGCUUUGCUGUGUUAUAGCCACCUGUUGUAUACUUCGACUGGGACUGAGGAUCGCAGCACGCCUUUGGCCGGGGCUUUGCCCACGUACGUGCUUAGGAUGUUGGCAUAAUGGCUUUAAGCGACCCGUCUUGAAACACGGACCAAGGAGUCUAACAUGUGCGCGAGUGUUUGGGUGUUAAACUCGGACGCGAAAUGAAAGUAACAAGUUGGGAACACUUUUGUGUGCACCGACGCCCGGAGCUGACCUUCUGUGACGCAUCUGCGGUAGAGCGUAUAUGUUGGGACCCGAAAGAUGGUGAACUAUGCCUGAAUAGGGUGAAGCCAGAGGAAACUCUGGUGGAGGCUCGUAGCGAUUCUGACGUGCAAAUCGAUCGUCAAAUUUGGGUAUAGGGGCGAAAGACUAAUCGAACCAUCUAGUAGCUGGUUCCUGCC
rnacentral:rRNA from 1 species